AUGGUUUUUGUCAAGUCUCAGAAAUCAAAGGCUUACUUCAAGAGGUUUCAAGUCAAGUUCAAGAGAAGAAGAGAGGGUAAGACUGAUUACAGAGCCAGGAUUCGUUUUGAUUAAUCAGGACAAGAACAAGUACAAUACUCCCAAGUAUCGUUUUGUUGUUUCGAUUUACAAACAAAGACAUUGUUUUGCUCAAAUUGUGAUGCUACCAUUGCUGGUGAUAUUGUUCUUGCCGCCGUUAUGCAUGAACUCCUCACUAUGGGCUUGAAGUAGGUAUUACCAACUAUGCUGCAGCCUAUUGCACCGGUCUCCUGUUGGCUUCUCGCCGGGUUCUUAAAACUCUUGAAAUGGAUGAGGAGUAUGAGGGCAAUGUAGAGGCUAGUGGAGAAGAUUAUUCAGUUGAACCAGCUGAUUCCAGGAAGGCCUUUACCGUGCUCUUCUUGAUGUUGGUUUGGUUAAGACCACAACCGGUAACCCGUGUGUUUGGUGACACUCAAGGGAAGCUUUGGAUGGAGGUUUGGAUAUUCCUCACAGUGACAAGAGGUUUGCUGGUUUUGCAACAAGGACGAGAAGGAAGGCUGGUGCCUUGGAGGGUUUCACAGGAGGUUAUACUUUGGUGGCAUGUGGCUCACCGGCCUUUGACGGUUGUGGAACCGGAAUAAUUCAAACUUCACUUCAGUUCCAUAUAUCAAGGAAAGGGAUUAGAAGCUUGAUGGAAUUGAGGACCAGGUUUACAAGAAGGUUCAUGCUGCAAUUCGUGCAGCCCUCAAUCAAAAAGGUCCGGUAGAAGCAGCCACCAAAGGAACACAAGAGGUACAACCUGAAGAAGCUUACUUAUGAUGAAAGAAGGACAAAGUUGAUUGCUUCGCUUGGAGGCACUAAAUU
rnacentral:rRNA from 1 species